rnacentral:lncRNA from 1 species
UCCCCCUGAAAAUGGACUUUUCUUCUUUUACCACAUUACCAGGCUGUGACAAAGAUAUCUGAGAAUGUAGAAGCAGGUUCAGAAGUGGGUAAAAGAGAGAGAGGUCGGGAGAGUUGGGAACCCUUAGAAGACAGCAAGAUGAGGAAAAGUUUAGACCACUGAAAAUAACUGUUAAAUACUUGGGAUCAGAAGUCUGACAGAAAGAUGGACAGUGAAGGCCAGACUUAAAAGGUCUCAGAUGAAAAUGAGGAAUGUCCUGUGAACAGGAGCCAAGGGUACAUUUGAUUGGCCUUAGCCCUGGAGAUCUCUGAAACUGUGAACAUGGGGGUGAUGAUUUAGGAUGUAUCUGGUGGAAUGAACAUCUAGGCAGCAUAGCUCAAGAGGUGUCCUCUCUACAUCCAACAGCCUGUGUUCUUAUGUGUGACCUAAGAAAUGACCUCAAGUUGCAACUUCUAUUUAAAUGAGAAGUGGAGCUCAAAAAUUUGAAAAAUUUGCAGCCUAGCCAAGUGGUCAAAAAGAAAAGCUGAUUUUCAGGGGGGAAAUUCAAGAACGCUUAGAGUGUUUGCAUAAAAAAGAGCCCAGUGCAAAUAGCCAAGACAAUGGGGAAAAGGCCUUGAAGGCAUUUCAGAGAUCUUUUCAGCAGCCGUUGCUGUCACAGGCCCUAGGGAUGAGGAGAGAAUGGUUUCCUGGGCCAGCUCCAUGGCCUGGCUGCUGUGUGCAUCCUCAGGACACCGCUGCCUGCAUCCCUGCAGCUCCAGCUCCAGCCAUGGCUGAAAGAUGCACAGGUACAGCUUGGGUCACUGCUCCAAGCCCUGAUGGCUUCCACAUAGUGUUAAGCCAGGAGGUGCACAGAGCAAGAGACUAGAGGCUUAGGAGCCUCCGUCUAGACUCCAGAGGAUGUACAGAAAAGCCUGGGUGUCCAGGCAGAAGCCUUUCCAAGAGGCAGAGCCUCAUGGGAAACCUUUACUAGGGCAGGAAAGAAGGGACAUGUCAGGUUGAAGCCCUCACACAAGGAGGCACCAUCCUUCAAACCCCAGAUUCAUAGACCCACCAACAGUUUGCACCCUCAGUGUGGGAAAGAUACAGACACUCGACACCAGCCUCGUCCAUGAGGGCAGCUGCGGGGACUUAUCACUGCAAACCCACAGGUGGAGAUCUGCCCAAAGCCUUGGGAGCCCAGCCCUCACACCCCUGUGCCGUGGAUGUGGGACAAGGAUUCCAAAAGGAUGAUUUUGGAGCUGUAGGAUUGAAUGACGGGCCUGCUGGGUUUUGGACAUUCAUGUAUCCUAGGCUCAGGGGCAGAAGAGACUGCCUCAUCUCAGAUGAGACUUUGGGCUUCAGACAUUUGAGUAAAUGCUGGAAUGAGUUAAGACCUUGUGGCACUGUAGGUGUGGCCUGGUGGGAGGUGAUUUAUUCCUGUACUUGAGAGGGGUGGAGUUGGAAGUAAAAAGAAGUGGGCUGCAACAAGGAUGGAUGAAAAUGUAAAAGCAGGUUCAGAAGAGGGUAACAGCCAGAGGUUGGAAAGUUUGGAGGCCUUGGAAGAAGUCAGGAAGAUGAAGGUAAGUUUUGACCAUUGUAGAGACUUGUUAAAUAGUUAUAAUUAAAAGGGCGACAGAAGGAUGGACAGUGAAGGCCAGGCUUACAAGAUCUCAGAUGAAAAUGAGGAAUUUACUGAAAACAGGAGCCAAGGUUACUUUGGUUUUGCCUUAGCAAAGAAUAUCACUGCAUGAUGCCCUUAACCUGGAGACCUAUGAAACUUUGAAC